UAUAUUGUAAAGUUUCAGGCAGGUGCUGGGAAACAACUUUGGAUUAUAGAACAUAAACUGCAGAAAAAUUUUGAAAUAGUGUUAUGAUGGCAAGUCCUUCGUCUGCUGAUAAUGUCUUAGAAAACAUCAGAAAACUCAUGAAGAGGAGAGACUUUAUGAAUGGUCAGUUAACCUUCAAGGAUGUGGCCGUGGACUUCUCACAGGAAGAAUGGAAAUGUCUUGACUGUGCUCAGAGGGACUUGUACAUGGAUGUCAUGUUGGAGAAUUACAAGAAUCUAUUUUUUGUGGAGAAUCAUCAUAUAUGUCAUAAAUGUGAGAACGUCUUGGUUCAAGACACACAGCAUAUUGUUGAUGAGCAUGUGAAUAUCCAUGAGAAGUCUUAUAAAUGUCACAAGCUUUGCAAAAUCAUUUAUAAAUCCACUGAAUGUACAUCUUAUAAAACUAACCUUGGGGAUACAUCUAUUGAAUCAUCAAAACAAAACAGACAUCAAACUGAAAACACCAGAGAACCUUGCCAAUCUAUAAACUGCGUAAACUGUUUAAAUUUGUGUUCUAACACUAGUCCAAAUCAAGGAAUCCACAUAGGAAAGAAAAAACACAAUGGCACAACACUUGAUAAGGUUUUCCACUCUAAACAAAAACUCAUGCUGAAACAAACCAAUAGUGGAAGAAAUUUACAGUGGGAAAAAGUUUCUAGCAGAAAAAAAUGGCAUGUGAUUUGUCUACUCAUGAUUCUUUGCAACACUUGAGGCUCCACACGGAGAACUAUUAUGAACACAAGAAACUUGUGAACAUCUUUAGGUUAUGUUCAAAUCUUAUAAGCUAUACUGCACUUGUACUGAACCACCAAAAAUCCGACAUUAAUGAAAUUUUUAUUGCAACUUUUUAAUUGUUUAUCCUUAAAUAAUUCAUUAUGAAAUCAAAUAGGGAACCCAGAAUAAUGUCAAAUUGUUUUAACAGUUUCCAGAAGGCUGAACUAAUCCACUGAAUAGGGAAACUGAUUAAAGCGGGUAAUGCACCUCUCAAAAUAGAUAAUGAAACCGAUAGCAUUCUAUAUGUUUAUCUUAAAUGAAAAACUCAGGUAUUUUUCUUGAAAAUGGAUUUGACAAAUUGAGACACCAAGAUACGAUGUCUUUUUUUCUGUAAAUAUGUUUACAGAUAUGCAGUUUCCUAUGAAUGUCCAGGAUUCACAGUCUGUACCAUAGGAUGUUUUCACAUUUCAGAAUUUCUACUUUCUUUUGGUCCCUUUGGCUCUGGUCACAAUUCCUUUUCCAUAGUCCUGUAAUUCCAAUAAAGCUCAUUGUUUCAAC
rnacentral:lncRNA from 1 species